AAAAACUCCUGCUGUUUUUGAAACUUCACCAUCAUAACUCCUCUAUUAAUCCUUUAACUACAUUUUAAAAGUGCUGCUCUGAGAAGUAGCUCAGCCCGGUUCCAUCAGGUGUUUGCUAAUUCCUGCUGCUCAGUCUGAAGUAGCUGAGUGGAAGAGUCGGGGGGGGGGAGCUACUCUGAGGCGAAAACUGCAGCUCUGAGGAGAAGUUGUGUCCUCAAAGGUGGAGCUAGGUCCAGCCAGGCAUUUUGCACAGCUGAAUGGUUGCCAUGGAGAUUAGAAGAUUUCUAAAACACGCAUGAAAGAAUCAAUGCACUCCAGGCUGCGGUAGCUAAUGACGGCAGGCCCUAUAAAAGCUGGUAGAAUCAUAGUACCAGUGAAUGACUUGAACUGUCAAGAUGUUUGGCACAAAGAAAUCAACACUUAGUGUUCCCCAGUGAAAGCAGCGAGUUUUCACAGUGACUGAGGUGAUUGUGGUGACUGUGAUGAUCAUGGUUCUUCAUCUCCAUCAAAGAAAAACCUUGAAAUUCACCCGUCGCGACUGUCUGAGUAAUUCAAGAGCUGGGGAA